rnacentral:rRNA from 1 species
CAAGGUUAACCGAAUAGGGGAGCCGAAGGGAAACCGAGUCUUAACUGGGCGUUAAGUUGCAGGGUAUAGACCCGAAACCCGGUGAUCUAGCCAUGGGCAGGUUGAAGGUUGGGUAACACUAACUGGAGGACCGAACCGACUAAUGUUGAAAAAUUAGCGGAUGACUUGUGGCUGGGGGUGAAAGGCCAAUCAAACCGGGAGAUAGCUGGUUCUCCCCGAAAGCUAUUUAGGUAGCGCCUCGUGAAUUCAUCUCCGGGGGUAGAGCACUGUUUCGGCAAGGGGGUCAUCCCGACUUACCAACCCGAUGCAAACUGCGAAUACCGGAGAAUGUUAUCACGGGAGACACACGGCGGGUGCUAACGUCCGUCGUGAAGAGGGAAACAACCCAGACCGCCAGCUAAGGUCCCAAAGUCAUGGUUAAGUGGGAAACGAUGUGGGAAGGCCCAGACAGCCAGGAUGUUGGCUUAGAAGCAGCCAUCAUUUAAAGAAAGCGUAAUAGCUCACUGGUCGAGUCGGCCUGCGCGGAAGAUGUAACGGGGCUAAACCAUGCAC